AGUGAACGCUGGCGGUAGGCCUAACACAUGCAAGUCGAACGGCAGCACAGUAAGAGCUUGCUCUUACGGGUGGCGAGUGGCGGACGGGUGAGGAAUACAUCGGAAUCUACUUUUUCGUGGGGGAUAACGUAGGGAAACUUACGCUAAUACCGCAUACGACCUACGGGUGAAAGCAGGGGAUCUUCGGACCUUGCGCGAUUGAAUGAGCCGAUGUCGGAUUAGCUAGUUGGCGGGGUAAAGGCCCACCAAGGCGACGAUCCGUAGCUGGUCUGAGAGGAUAAUCAGCCACACUGGAACUGAGAAACGGUCCAGACUCCUACGGGAGGCAGGAGUGGGGAAUAUGGGAAAAUGGGCGGAAGCCUGAUCCAGCCAUCCCGCGUGGGUGAAGAAGGCCUUCGGGUUGUAAAGCCCUUUUGUUGGGAAAAAAAAGCAGCAGGUUAAUACCCCGCUGUUCUGACGGUACCCAAAGAAGAAGCAGCGGCUAACUUCGU
rnacentral:rRNA from 1 species